GAUGAACGCUGGCGGCGUGCUUAAUACAUGCAAGUCGAGCGAAGAGACGAGGCGCUUGCUCCUCUGACGUUAGCCGCGGAGGUGUGUGUAACACGUGGAUACCCUCCCUAUCAUACUGGUAUAACUUCGGGACGCCGGCUCUAAUACCGGAUAAUCUGUUCAUCCGCAUGGUUCAGUUGGAAAAGGCGGUUUUGCUGUGACUUAUAGAUGGAUCCGCGCCGCAUUAUCUAGUGGGUAAGGUCACGGCUUACCAAGGCAACGAGGCGUCGCCGACCUGAGAGGGUGAUCGGCCACACGGGAACUGAGGCACGGUCCAGACUCCAACGGGAGGCAGCAGGAGGGAAUCGGACGCAAUGGGCGAAAGCUUGACGGAGCAACGCCGCGUGAGUGAUGAAGGUCUUCGGAUCGUAGAACUCUGUUAUUAGGGAAGAACAAAUGUGUAAGUAACUAUGCACGUCUGGACGGUACCUAAUCAGAAAGCCACGGCUAACUACGU
rnacentral:rRNA from 1 species